UGGUUUCUAAUUUUCUAGCCAAUACGAUAUUAACGAUGAUAAAUGAAUGUGUAGGGUACAUGGAUAUCCAUUUUCUAUCGUCAUGUUAAGGGUACUUUGGCAAGAUGCCUUACAAGUUGGCCUAACCCCGAAGUUGGGUAUUUUGAGCCAUUUGAUCGUUUCGCCGGAAGGAAGGAAUUGCAGCACGGGUCUGGUACCGGCACUGAAAUGCAUUUUUGUUUCAUUUCGUAGUCACCAUGGCGUCGUAGUGGAAAGUUUGCUUGUUAGAUGCUGGAAUAAUGUAUUUUAAUAAAGGCAAAGAUGUGUAGAAUUCGAUGCCUUAGUACCUUCUAAGUUUAGGCUCGUUUCGUAAUCGCUUAUCGUUUAGCUAUCGUUUCGUACGAGACGAAUAUGUUUGUGCUUAAAUGCAAUAUACAAUUUAGUCGGAAGAAUCUAAAAUUGUCAUGAUUUUGUUUAAAAGUAAAAACGCUUCGCAUGCAAUGCAGAAGCACGAAAUGGACUGCAGUGCCUAGGUUAGGAGGCAUACUGUUUAAACUUCUUCAUUGGACAGCUGCUACUGAGUCAGUUUUGGCAAUAUCUCCCCCUCCCCAUCUACCUCCAAUUCUGUUCCAUGUACCACCUGAUGUCUACAAUAUCGGAUGGAAUACCCUUUGACUUGAAUUACGGCUUCAUACCGAAUAAGGACUUUUCUGUACAGGCUUCAUGCUCGACAGAAGAGUACUGGCCAACUUCAACGUAAAAACGAUUUCGCAUGUAAUGCAAAAGCUCAAUAUACAGUACUUUUAAGGUAACAUGCUGUUUAAACUUCUUCAUUGGACAGCUGCUACUGAGUCAGUUCUGGCAUUACUUUCGGCUAAGUAAAGAAUCUUCAGUUCUCUUCGAAUUAUCUGGACUACUUCUUAUUCUUAUCUUGUCAUUUGUGGUUUUUGACCCGUUAUGACGAACCUUCCAAAUGAUGAACACUUCUGUCCAUAAAAUUACAUAAGGUAACGGUGAUAUUAGUGAAAAUUGUUAACCCCAGUGAGUGCGAACAACACAGCUGAAGCGAUGUAAUCUAUGCGAAAAAAGAUGUCCAAGGUAGGGUUAGUUAAGUUUACUGUUUAUGAAAUAGGAAAGCAUUCAUCUUGGGCAACAAAUUAUGAGUAAUG